ensembl:miRNA Mir3087 microRNA 3087
ACAGGGCAGGGCAAGAGUCGAGACUUAUGGCCCCUAACUCACUGUCAUGUCCUCAG